rnacentral:rRNA from 1 species
GACGAACGUUGGCGGCGUGCUUAACACAUGCAAGUCGAACGGAAAGGCCCUGCUUUUGUGGGGUGCUCGAGUGGCGAACGGGUGAGUAACACGUGAGUAACCUGCCCUUGACUUUGGGAUAACUUCAGGAAACUGGGGCUAAUACCGGAUAGGAGCUCCUGCUGCAUGGUGGGGGUUGGAAAGUUUCGGCGGUUGGGGAUGGACUCGCGGCUUAUCAGCUUGUUGGUGGGGUAGUGGCUUACCAAGGCUUUGACGGGUAGCCGGCCUGAGGGGGUGACCGGCCACAUUGGGACUGAGAUACGGCCCAGACUCCUACGGGAGGCAGCAGUGGGGAAUAUUGCACAAUGGGCGGAAGCCUGAUGCAGCAACGCCGCGUGCGGGAUGACGGCCUUCGGGUUGUAAACCGCUUUCGCCUGUGACGAAGCGUGAGUGACGGUAAUGGGUAAAGAAGCACCGGCUAACUACGUGCCAGCAGCCGCGGUGAUACGUAGGGUGCGAGCGUUGUCCGGAUUUAUUGGGCGUAAAGGGCUCGUAGGUGGUUGAUCGCGUCGGAAGUGUAAUCUUGGGGCUUAACCCUGAGCGUGCUUUCGAUACGGGUUGACUUGAGGAAUUUAGGGGAGAAUGGAAUUCCUGGUGGAGCGGUGGAAUGCGCAGAUAUCAGGAGGAACACCAGUGGCGAAGGCGGUUCUCUGGGCCUUUCCUGACGCUGAGGAGCGAAAGCGUGGGGAGCGAACAGGCUUAGAUACCCUGGUAGUCCACGCUGUAAACGGUGGGUACUAGGUGUGGGGUCCAUUCCACGGGUUCCGUGCCGUAGCUAACGCUUUAAGUACCCCGCCUGGGGAGUACGGCCGCAAGGCUAAAACUCAAAGGAAUUGACGGGGCCCCGCACAAGCGGCGGAGCAUGCGGAUUAAUUCGAUGCAACGCGUAGAACCUUACCUGGGUUUGACAUGGAUCGGGAGCGCUCAGAGAUGGGUGUGCCUCUUUUGGGGUCGGUUCACAGGUGGUGCAUGGCUGUCGUCAGCUCGUGUCGUGAGAUGUUGGGUUAAGUCCCGCAACGAGCGCAACCCUUGUUCACUGUUGCCAGCACGUUAUGGUGGGGACUCAGUGGAGACCGCCGGGGUCAACUCGGAGGAAGGUGGGGAUGACGUCAAGUCAUCAUGCCCCUUAUGUCCAGGGCUUCACGCAUGCUACAAUGGCUGGUACAGAGAGUGGCGAGCCUGUGAGGGUGAGCGAAUCUCGGAAAGCCGGUCUCAGUUCGGAUUGGGGUCUGCAACUCGACCUCAUGAAGUCGGAGUCGCUAGUAAUCGCAGAUCAGCAACGCUGCGGUGAAUACGUUCCCGGGGCU